AGAGUUUGAUCCUGGCUCAGGACGAACGCUGGCGGCGUGCCUAAUACAUGCAAGUCGUGCGGGCCUUGUUAAAAGCUUGCUUUUAACAAGGCUAGCGGCGGACGGGUGAGUAACACGUGGGCAACCUGCCUGUAAGACCGGGAUAACGCCGGGAAACCGGGGCUAAUACCAGAUCGUUUUUUCCUCCGCAUGGAGGAAAAAGGAAAGGCGGCUUCGGCUGCCACUUACAGAUGGGCCCGCGGCGCAUUAGCUAGUUGGCGGGGUAAUGGCCCACCAAGGCAACGAUGCGUAGCCGACCUGAGAGGGUGAUCGGCCACAUUGGGACUGAGACACGGCCCAAACUCCUACGGGAGGCAGCAGUAGGGAAUCUUCCGCAAUGGACGAAAGUCUGACGGAGCAACGCCGCGUGAGUGAAGAAGGCCUUCGGGUCGUAAAACUCUGUUGCCGGGGAAGAACAAGUGCCGUUCGAACAGGGCGGCGCCUUGACGGUACCCGGCCAGAA
rnacentral:rRNA from 1 species